rnacentral:misc_RNA from 1 species
GAUGAAGAACGUAGUGAAAUGCGAUAAGUAAUGUGAAUUGCAGAAUUCAGUGAGUCAUCGAAUCUUUGAACGCACAUUGCGCCCUGUGGUAUUCCGCAGGGCAUGCCUGUUCGAGCGUCAUUUCAACCCUCAAGCCCCGCUUGGUGUUGGGCCCCGCCCGCUGUGGCCGGCCCUAAAGACAGUGGCGGCGCCGCCUGGCCCUCAGCGUAGUACAUCUCUCGCUCCAGGGUCCGGUGGCCGCCUGCCAGAACCCCCCAACUCUGUGGUUGACCUCGGAUCAGGUAGGGAUACCCGCUGAACUUAAGCAUAUCAAUAAGCGGAGGA